AGCGAACGCUGGCGGCAGGCUUAACACAUGCAAGUCGAGCGGGCGUAGCAAUACGUCAGCGGCAGACGGGUGAGUAACGCGUGGGAACGUACCUUUUGGUUCGGAACAACACAGGGAAACUUGUGCUAAUACCGGAUAAGCCCUUACGGGGAAAGAUUUAUCGCCGAAAGAUCGGCCCGCGUCUGAUUAGCUAGUUGGUGAGGUAACGGCUCACCAAGGCGACGAUCAGUAGCUGGUCUGAGAGGAUGAUCAGCCACAUUGGGACUGAGACACGGCCCAAACUCCUACGGGAGGCAGCAGUGGGGAAUAUUGGACAAUGGGCGCAAGCCUGAUCCAGCCAUGCCGCGUGAGUGAUGAAGGCCCUAGGGUUGUAAAGCUCUUUUGUGCGGGAAGAUAAUGACGGUACCGCAAGAAUAAGCCCCGGCUAACUUCGUGCCAGCAGCCGCGGUAAU
rnacentral:rRNA from 1 species